rnacentral:misc_RNA from 1 species
GUGCCUUUAGAGAGUUUGUCAAGUUAUUACGAAUUUUCGAGGCAAGAUUAUUAGCAUGAUCAGCAACUGCUUGCCUGUCAUAGCCAGCACCAGAAACCUGUAUACCCAAAGCUUUCAAGUGAUGCUCAUUCUUAAGUUCCCGCAUCCUACCGCUAACUGCAAGAAGUGCUUUAGAAGGAACACAGCCUCUGUUUACACAAGUUCCGCCAAUUACAUCUCCUUCAAUGAUAGCUGUUUUAAGACCCUUCUCCACAGCAUGUAAUGCAGCACCAUGACCACCAACACCA